GACGAACGCUGGCGGCGUGCCUAAUACAUGCAAGUAGAACGCUGAGGGAGGAGCUUGGUUCUCUGGACGAGUUGCGAACGGGUGAGUAACACGUAGGUAACCUGCCUUGUAGUGUGGGAUAACUAUUGGAAACGAUAGCUAAUACCGCAUAAGAGUAGAUGUUGCAUGACAUUUGUUGAAAAGUUGCAGUUGCAUCAGUACCAGAUGCGCCUGCGUUGUAUUAUCUAGUUGGAGAGGUAACGGCACACUAAGGCAAGGAUACAUAGCCGAACGGAGAGGGUGAUCGGCCGCACUGGGACGGAGACACGGCCCAGACUCCUACGGGAGGCAGCAGUAGGGAAUCUGCGGCAAUGGGCGGAAGUCUGACCGAGCAACGCCGCGUGAGGGAAGAAGGUUUUCGGAUCGGAAAGCUCGGUUGUAAGAGAAGAACGAGUGUGAGAGUGGAAAGUUCACACUGUGACGGUAUCUUAUCAGAAAGCGACGGCUAACUACGUG
rnacentral:rRNA from 1 species